UACAGAGGGGGCAAGCGUUGUUCGGAAUUACUGGGCGUAAAGGGCGCGUAGGCGGCCGCCUAAGUCAGACGUGAAAUCCCUCGGCUCAACCGGGGAACUGCGUCUGAUACUGGGUGGCUUGAAUUCGGGAGAGGGAUGCGGAAUUCCAGGUGUAGCGGUGAAAUGCGUAGAUAUCUGGAGGAACACCGGCGGUGUAGACGGCUCUCUGGACCGUAACUGACGCUGAGAUACGAAAGCGUGGGUAGCAAACAGG
rnacentral:rRNA from 1 species